rnacentral:rRNA from 1 species
CCUGUCGGUGUAACUGGCAUGUCGCGGCAUGUCCUGUCGGUGGUGAGCGGGAUUCCCGGUGCAGCGUAGGCUUUUAUGUCCGAACCUUUGCCGUGGGUAAUUCCGUUUGCCGAUCUCUCCUACUCCGGUGCUCUUAAACGAGUGUCGAGGUAGGCCGACACGUUCACUUUGAACAAAUUAGAGUGCUUAAAGCAGGCUGAAAUAUCUGCCUGAAUAGUGGUGCAUGGAAUGAUAAAAUAGGACCUCGGUUCUAUUUUGUUGGUUUUAGGAAUAUGAGGUAAUGAUCAAUGUGGACUGGCGGGGGCAUUCGUAUUGCGACGUUAGAGGUGAAAUUCUUGGAUCGUCGCAAGACGCACUAGAGCGAAAGCAUUUGCCAAGUAUGUCUUAAUUGAUCAAGAACGAAAGUUAGAGGUUCGAAGGCGAUCAGAUACCGCCCUAGUUCUAACCAUAAACGAUGCCAGCCAGCAAA